AUUCCAAAUCGGAAGGACAAUGGGAGAUAUGAGAAGGAAGCUGGUGUAGGAACAAGAUGUAUUCAGAAAUGGGUACGACCGGCGUUUCUGCAGCUAUUUCGAAUAUGCAUAUAUGAUUAGAGGUAUGAAUUGGU
ensembl:ncRNA ZK470.8 ncRNA